CAUAAUCCUGAAAUAUAAAGAAAGAGAAGUAAUAUUUAAGUUCAAUCUAUAUUAGAGUAAAUUUUUAUUUGUCCAAUAUCAGUUAAAUGUUCGUGAAGGUCAAAGUUUUCAGCCAGGCAGGCUCCGGUUUUCAUUUACUUUUGCGUUUUCAGCCCAAACGUUCCCUUUUCAUUGUUAGGUGGAAAAAUUGUUCCCAAUUUUUUGUCAAAAUGUAGUGCGGAUGGCACAAUUCAGUGUAGUUCGCGGAAGAAAGGCUUAGGCUUAACAUCCGAAGUAUCGAUACCAAAAUCGCGCUGCGUCAGCUUUUUGCGCGAAAACGCAAGUUGUUGUUGCUCUGACCAAUUAUUUCAAAGCAAAAUUUGAAGUUUAGAGUUUGUACCUGUGAGAUAAACGCACGUAAGGGGCUUACCACGUAGGGGUAUGUGUGAUUAAUGUUGUUAAACUGAUCCCAUACAAUAUAUUAAGAAAGGGAUGAUUUCGCUUUCGGAAAUACUGACAGGCAUAAAAAAUAACGUCGAAUAGCCAUUUGCCUUUUGAAAAAUUCUAUGGUAACAUAAUUCCGUUGACUUAAGCUUCAAAAAAGACACCCUGUUUUGCUAACUGGUCAUAUUGGAAAAUCGUUAGCAGCGACCAACGUCUCUAGCGGGAAGAUGACCGAAAAGAGAAGCGCAUGCCAACAGCUAUGUGCACCGAAUAUGCAGGCGAGGCCGGUCUAUAUAUGUAUGGAUAACUUAUGUGGUCGAUGACACUGGUGAUGGAAAAAUUGGAGAGAUGUCAGAGGAAGCCCAGGAAGCGAGAAACAAAGAUUAAAAAAAUACAGGAAUAUGAAAACGUGCGUCUUGCAGAAACAAAAAAAUCCAACCAACUUUCAGAAAAAAAAUGUUGUUAUUUAAGUUUUUUAUAAUUUAGGUUUAGUUUAAAAUGAAAUAAAUAGUAAAAUAAAGUACUUUAUCGAUACAAAAAUUAAUACAAAUUGAGAAUUUUAUAUAGGAAAAUAUGCACCGGUAACACGGUUAAACUUUAACACAUUAUUGUGAAGCUUUUAUACAUUGUAGCAUAAUUUACUUAAGCAGAUACAAUUUUUCUUUAAAAUUCAGUUUGUUUCAUGAAGUUGUCUUUAUUCGUUCAUAAGUUAUUUAUUUAUCAAGCUGAAAAGGCCGAAUGUCCACUGUACCAUUUCCCCUUCCUUUCAGUAAUGUUUAUACUAGUAGGUAUAUGUAGAUAUAUAUAACUGGAGUUAUUUUGUUGAGAAUAAUAUAAAUAAUAAUACAAACUUUAUUUAUUUAUAAUACAAUUUCUAACUUACUUUUUGACUUCUUUUCGAGCUCUCAUCGGUAUCUUGAGGACUACAAAACCAUUCGGUACUAGCUGCCAUCAAAUCUUCAACCUUUGGUCUAAAGCACUUGCACCAAAAUACAAAUGGUAUACAUAUAAAGAAGAAACAGUUUACUAUAAAAAUUCUUGUUUUAGAAGUGCAUUCAAAAAUAAUUCCCGGCUGAAUGGUAUUAAAUCCGAAUUGAUUUAUUGAUUGAACACAUAAGCCGAAAAUACCUUUUAAAAAGCCU